rnacentral:lncRNA from 1 species
UUUUUUAAUAGGUCCAAUCUUGUCUAAGAUCAAUUUGGAUUGUCUUGCUCGCUAUGGUGCUCCACUCUAAUCAUCAACAUGUUGAUCUCAACAGGGAUAACUGCUUUAGCUUUAAAAAUGAGGUUGAAAGAAGUUUCUCUGAUAGAUCCACAGUACGUUGUAGAGUUUUUCGGUUCAGAGCCCUUUAGCUUAGCCGAGUCUUGACUUCAACCCU